rnacentral:rRNA from 1 species
UACGUAGGGAGCAAGCGUUGUCCGGAAUCAUUGGGCGUAAAGCGCGCGUAGGCGGCCCUGUAAGUCCGUUGUGAAAGUCAAAGGCUCAACCUUUGAAAGCCGAUGGAUACUGCAGGGCUAGAGUCCGGAAGAGGCGAGUGGAAUUCCUGGUGUAGCGGUGGAAUGCGCAGAUAUCAGGAGGAACACCGGUGGCGAAGGCGGUUCUCGUGGGAAUAUCCUGACGCUGAGGAGCGAAAGUGUGGGAGCGAACAGG